rnacentral:lncRNA from 1 species
CACAUGUGAAUACCCUCAUCACGUGCACCGUAAAAAGCAGUAAGUAUAUGUAAUAACAUAAGGCUUGUUGAUUUUGGCUGCGCACGUUUCUGCCUUUAUUGCGUAAUUAAAACCAGCAAGUAGGGAACAGUCACUACAUGUAACCAGUGCAAUCCUAAAGGCAAUGCUGAAUUUCGGGCAGGAGAUAAUUCCCCUCAAAAGCCUUUUCCUGUUAAAGAAUAUUAAGAGCCCAUCAUUGAAUCAAUCACAUAAGAGAUAGUGAAAAAUAUGGAAAGUUCAUUGACCGUUCUACCUCCUGCUGAAGUGUAAACAAGGAAUUUCAAAUGAAGAGGACUGAAACAAUGAAAUUACCAGGAACUUCUUAUCUAUGGAUAGUUAACAGCUGGUGGGUGGGGGCAAAUUUACAUGAUGCACCCAUGUGGGUGGAUGGGGAAAAUUCUCAGCGUAAUGGCACCAUUAAAUCAAGGUUAAAUAGUUGGCUAAGAACUUUUGAAGAGAACUGGAAAUACUGGCUUAACGCCUAUGGGCUUGGCCCUUUUUACUGUUGAUGUAGGUAGUGUUUUUCCAUUCCUUCAUGUGGAGGGAGGUGGGAAGCAGUGACAGAGCAUGUUUCUAGAGAGAAGCCUACAGCAUGCCAAUCUGCCAGUGCCUGUUUCCAGAACUGGGGGUUAUUUUCUUUUUGAGUCUGUAGAAGUCUAAUCUAGGGGUGAUGGGAAAUGUUUGCCUGAGGGCAUGAGAAGCCUAUGACUUCAGCUGAUUAUUACAGAUAUGGACAAUAGUGGCCUAAAGAGAUCUAGAAACUUUGAACAUACAACUAGAAAAACAACAUUCACAUCACCUUGGCCAGUUGUGAUUUUAUUUUUUAAUUACAAAACUUAAUUUUUGUUAAGAACUUCAGAGGUGCAGCCCUAUAUCUGACAAAAGGGAUGCAUCCGGUCUAGUAUUCUGCCUUACACAGCAGCCAGCCAGAUUCCUUCAGCAUCAUGACAUCAAGGCAACAAUAGCAUAUAAAGCCUUUCUGGCAGAGGGUAUUUUCAGAGAUAAAUUAUAUUAAGUUUCAACAUAUGGAGUGUACUCUAAGUUUGGGAUUUUUAAGGUUAAGGGACCCCCAACCGGUAGGUCCAGUCGCGGACAACUCUGGGGUUGCGGCGCUCAUCUUGCUUUACUGGCCGAGGGAGCUGGCGUACAGCUUCCGGGUCAUGUGGCCAGCAUGACUAAGCCGCUUCUGGCGAACCAGAGCAGCACACGGAAACGCCGUUUACCUUCCUGCCAGAGCAGUACCUAUUUAUCUACUUGCACUUUGCCGUGCUUUCGAACUGCUAGGUUGGCAGGAGCAGGGACCGAGCAACAGGAGCUCACCCCAUCACGGGGAUUCGAACCGCCGACCUUCUGAUCGGCGAGCCCUAGUCUCUGUGGUUUAACCCACAGCGCUACCAGCGUCCCUAAGUUUGGGAUUAGUUGACCAUUUUUAAAGAAGGGCAAUUUGACCUUUGUUAUAAAGAACUGAUUGCUUUUCUUUGAGUGACAGCCUGCCUGCUGGUGGCACAGAAUUGGAAAGUAUUAGAAUAUCUGUGUAUUUCUCAUUGGAAACAACAGGUAUGGUUGAUUGCUGUAGCAGAAAAAUUAAGAAACAGAUUGCAUGCACUGAAUAAUACAAAUGAUGUGGGUGAUUUUGUUGAAGCGUGAUAACUUUUUAUAAAAUAAUUUACUGAUAACUCUGAAGAAUGGCAACCACUGAAAUCAUAGACUCAUUUAGGCUGAGAUUCCUGCAUUGCAGGGGGUUGGACUAGAUGACCCUUGGGGUCCCUUCCAAUUCUACAAUUCCAUGAAACUUAAGUAGACUGAUCCAUCCCGGAGGGGGGAGGGGGAGUAAGCUGGCGUUUUGUUUUUGCAUUUUCCUCCCUAUUUCCCCCUCUUUUCCUGUUGUAAUUGUUGUUCUAUAUUGGGUAUAUGCGAAAGCCCUCUCCUCUUGAUGGUCUCCCAUAAACUGCUAUACAAUGCCUUUCUGCUUCUGAACCAGCAUAAAGCUAGCAUGACAUGAGUAUUAACCAAUGAUAAGCCUAUCUGCUAUGGCAGGGGCUGGGGUGAUGUUUCAACCCAAGAGGCACAUCCGCUUCUGGGGGACCCAGAAGUAGGCAGGGCCAGUGGUAAAAGUGAGUGGAGCAAGGAAUGCAAAUUUCACACUGAUACAGUGGGCAAGUUUCUAUAGACACAUGGCUGUUUCUAUCUAGGCAAGAAAGAGGCAUUAACAGAGUCCAAGGACACAUUCCAGCCAGGCAAAAACAAAUGGGAUUCUAAGUCAGACAAGUGAGGUGUGUGGGGAGAAUUCCGAGGAGCAGAUCGGGAAGCCUGUUUGGCCUCCAGACCUGAGUUUCUUUACUGCUGCUCUAUGGAAUUGGCCAAUCUCCUUUUUAGAUAAUGUAAGCAAGGGGGCACCUAGUGGCAGUGAAUUCCAUAGAUUAAUGGUGUGAAGAAGCAUUUUGUUCUGAAUCUAUUAGCAGUCAGUUUCACAAAGGAGAUUGUUAUGACACUGGGUUGAUAGGGGAGAGGGGUUUUUUUUUGAGGGGGGGUGAAGUCUCUCUACUAUACUUGAUCUAUAACAUUUCUGCACCUUUUCCAGCUCUGUGAUUAUUUGUUGUUGUUGUUGUUAUACUCCGCCCAUCUGACUGAGUUGCCCUAGCCACUCUGGGCAGCUUCCAGCAUAUACAGAAACAUAAAAAGAAAUAAUUUAAACAUUAAAAACUUCUGUAUACAGGGCUGCCUUCAAAUGUCUUCAAAAUAAUAAUAAUUCAUUUUCUGGGACGUCCAGAAAUAAAUAAUUUGCUUUGAGCAAAAAUUUUGAUUAUGGACUAUAAAAGCUUGGGAGAUUUUAUUUUAAAAAUGAACAUUGUAUUAUUUCAUCCCUUUGCUUUAAUCAUGGGUUGUCUGCAUCUUUAAUGUUACUGUUGGAAGGAUAUUUAUGUGCCUGAAAGCAUGCAGUGACAUUUGCACAGGAGAUAUAAUUAGCGCAGGGGCCUCCCUGUGUUUUCCCAAAUCAAACAUUAGAGAACGAGGCAGCUGAUAAAUGAUGGAAACCUGGGGAGCCAUGUCUUAAUCUAAUGCACAGGCCCCUUAAUUUAUGAGGGUAGAGAGUAAAUUACAACACAAUCCUCUGCAGGAGUACCCUGCCCAAGAGUAUACCAAGUACUAAAUUCAAUGGGUGAUAUCCAAUGCUUGUCAUCCUCAGAGCGGACUCAUUUAAAUCAACAGACAUAACUGAAAUCUACUGAUUUAAUGGCUGUAUGAUUAAUGUUGGAUAAUGCUCAAUGGGAAUAUAGUGUUAUGAGUUUACUGGUGGGUCGGCUGUAGCCCAGAGUCUCCCUUCUAAUUCCUGGAUCCGGCAUGGAUUAAAUUGCUGGAAUAGACAGGCCAGCCUGGGAAUGGCCCGCUAAGUAUGGGUUGUUAAGGUAACAAAAUGGCCCCUGAGAGGUGCCAGAACCAAGUUCCAAUGAGGACUAAACUGCUUCUGAAGCGGUUUAGUCAUGCUGGUCACAUGACCCAGAAAGCUGUCUGUGGACAAACGCCGGCUCCCUUGGCCUGAAAGCGAGAUGAGCACCACAACCCCAUAGUCACCUUCCACUGGACUUAUCCGUCCAGGGGUACCUUUUACCUUCAGUGAGGAGUUCCCGCUGGAAAAAAGCCUUGGGAGGUGCUGAUAAAUCUCCAAGAGAGCCUAGGUACGCCUCUGCCAGAAACGUUAUUGUGGAAAAGCAGCAUAUAAGUAAACUUAAUACAUCAUAGGAGCAGAGUGGAAGGAUAUAGACAACACCAGUGCUUUUUUUUCUUUCUAAAAAAAUAUUUAAGGGUACUCUCAUUUUGACUCAAGAAAAUCACCAUUUUAUAGUUCAAAUUGGGGGAAAUAAAUGAGGUAAAUGGACAAAAGUACAAAGAUUCACAAAAUGUUUAGGGGUAUGUGUACUCCUGCGUACCCCCAGAAAAAAAGCACUGGAUAGCACUAAAUGAAUUUUUCAUUUCCUUUUUUCCAGAAUCUAUUGUUACACAUUUAAAAAUCUAUAUUGGCUAGAUAGUUUGAAAGCAAUUUCCUUCCACAUAUGUGUGUCCAUAAGCAUGGCUUUUAGGAUGCAGAAAAUGCUGUGCUAUGGAAUUAUAAGAGCAGAAUUUCAAGAUGAACAGACCUUUCAGAGCUGUGGAAUCUGAAAAGGUUAUGUUACAUAUAACUAUGGCUUUAUUUUUCCCCCUUUCCCUUUUAAUAGGAAAGGCACAUUGGGUCAGCAGUAGGAAAAAUCAAAAUAACAUAUCUGUUUGAGUUUUGAAAAGUGUUUGUAUGACUGAACCGCUAGAUGGCAGUCUAUGAGGGGUAUUGAGUAAAAUAAAAUAUAAAAGUUUUUUUCAGGCGGAAUCUCUAUCACAGAACAUUGUAAAUUUACAGAACUUAGAUUAAAUGCAAGAUGCCGUGAAGCACGAGUGGUUUUUGUACACACCGAUAUGUGAAGUACCCUGUGGAGAAGAGCUAUUUAAAAGAGCAGAACAACAGGCAGCAGCAUGCUGGUUGAAUGCUAGUUGUUCUUCCAAGUCUCUGAUCGAAAGAUGAAAGUUUUAGAAUGCAACAUGGUCCAAAAAGUACAAGAAAGCAAAAAGCCUUUGGAGGUUGUUGUUUGAGAAACGGUUUUGAAACCUUUCUGACAGAGGCUGGGGCACCAACUAUAGGGGGCAGAAGGGGCUUUGGUCCCCUCAACAUUUGUGGGGAGGGGGCCAAGCCAGGAGGGGUGGGUGCAUGGAGGGUGAAGAUCGCCUUCUGGGUUCCCCAUCCCCUGCUGCCACUGGGUGGGGGCAGGAUGCGUCGUGUGAUGCUGGGUCCCCUCAAGGUGAGGGGCAAGUCGGUGCCCCUGACAGAGGCCCUCACCCAAGUUCCAGCGAUUUUAGAGCAUUUUCCUGAGCAAAUUUAGCAGUCAUGGGAUACUAAGGCAAGGAUUUUUGUGGCUCAGUUAACCUGUUAAGAAGCAGGCAGCAGGAAUGAAUUGAGUUCUUGCAGUUUCCAAGCUGUUUGGUGAAUGAGUAAAUUUGUAAGAACACUCUUAAAUGGAAGGUUUUAGUGUUUUUGAAAUUUCAUGUGCUAGGCAGAGGCAAACACUGGCCAGUAUGUUCAAGACCACCUGGAAUAAAAUAUUGGUAUUUAAGCCAACUAUUUCUUCAGAUUAAAAUUUUAAAUAGUUGAUCAUUUAGAAAGACACUAUCACAGAAACUGCACUGUGUAAAGGGUACCUUUUUUGAAACGGCAAGCUUGUUUUUACAACUCAGGGAGAGCAAAGAGAAAACACAAAACACCCUCAAUAGUAAGAUUAAGAGUUUAAUAAUUACACACUUUUUACAUUAUGAAAAUAAGUCAUAAAUAGUGUAAAAAUAAUUCUGAAGAUCAACUUCUCACAAGCUAGGAACAAAAACCAAAUACAAAACUCAAAGAAACAGGAACAAUUUUAAAACUGUAAAGAACAGGAGAAACCAGGAAAAUUUGACAAAGAAAAGAAACAAUUCAUACUGUUUCAUUUGGCUCAGCCUUGAAUUAUGUCUGAACCAGAAGCCACACUUAAGUAAAAAUGUAUAACAAAUCAAAAGUGAUGAUUUAAGCCUUGAAAUUAUUUACACAGCCAUAGUUUUACAGUGAAAUGACACUCAGAAUAUGUGAUAUGAGAAUGACUCAUGUAAUGUUUCCCACAGUGACAAUUCACUCCAAAUCUCAUCAUCUUCUUUUAAGAAAGACUGCUAUGAAAUAUCAAAAUAACUGCACAUACAGGUCAAUUAAAAAAAGUAAAAAACACAAAUUAAAAAUAUAAUAUUUUCCAAAAAGAAAAAUGAUCAGAUACAUACACCUUUAAAAAUUGUUACCAGGUUGCAUUAUACUACACUUCCCAAACAUGUACAACAGAAAAAUAUCCACAAUGAAUGGGCAAAAUCCAUUGGGAAGCUCUCCUGCACAAGCUCCAAUAUGAAAGUUGCAUAAGGCUUUGAUAGUAUUGUUCUGAGUAUGGGGAGUUAAGCUGUAUGCCAGACCCCGCUAAAUCCCUGGAUUGAGCAAGUGUUAAUAUUUAAUCAAGGGUUCUAAUUAUUGGACAAGCAAGGCUAGCCUCCUGGUGACUAGCCAUUCAGGGGAACAAAGGAAAACAGCUCUGUGAGACCCUCUUGGGGUGUUAAUGCUGGGAAACCCUCCAUCGUAGGCUCAGGCUGUAUAUAUCUGCUGUGUCUCAUUCCAAAAAGAAACACAAACCCUGGGUAAUACGUGCUUGGAACCCCUGGAAUCUCACAACACUUGGAGAUUGGGAUUGCAUGCAACAGUAUUAUUGUGUAGCACCCUUUCAUUUUAUUGGAAAUGCCCUGGAGAGCUGGACAAAGGAUUGUGGCCAACAUUAACAACAUUUAAAAUAAACCCCUCUCCCAAUCAAAUGCUUCCAAAUUACCUCAAAGCAGUACCAAGUGUGACUGAGUAGAUUUAGAUGGAUUUUCAGCAAAAAGGUUUAAAGGUAAACACUGAAGGUCCCUGCUGGAAUAAGGCCCCCUGAUAAUCCAAGGAAAGACAAUUCUAUUUCCGAGCAGCAUAGUAAACAGGAUGCAUUUCAAAUACCAAUAUUUUUAAAAAAUGCAAACAAACUCCCAAUAUUACAGAAACCUCAUCCUUUUUAGCAUCCAUUUUGCUGUUUUGGUGACCUUGUCACAUGGUCAGACAGCAAUGAUCAGAAAUCAAUGUGACACACACACCCUGGCAGUGUUUAGCCAAUCAUCGGGCAGUUUCAGAAAUGAAUUGUAUAUUUCAUAGCACUGGACCAUUCAGACUGAUAUUGAGAUGCCACACAAGAAAAAAAAAGAAAGUUGUUUCUCUUAACAGCUUUAGGUCUCAUUGUUCAAAGCUCCUGGAGACCAUGUUGACACAACUUGUGUUUUUAUUCUACUCAUUUAUUUCAAUGUAGUUUUUGGUGUGAAAAGGAAAAGUCUCUUUUUAGGUAAAACAAAAAGAUACAGAUAUAACUGUAUGACAGUCAAGUAACAGAGCUUAGAAAGCUUGCAAAGAAAACGCAUGUCAUCAAAAACCUCAUUCUCUUGUAGAAGAGUGCACCCAUUCUUGUAGCUUUUACUCUUAAAAAAAUAAUUACACAGAACAAUUCCAUUAUACAAAAUAAAUCCAACCAUGUAUUCUCAUAGUUAACAAUGCCCUAUGUAAACCAGAGUUGCAUCCAGCAGUUCUGUACGGUGAAUAAAUUCAGAACCUACAAGAAUGUUACUGGAUCGCCUCUUGCCUGUUCUUAGCCAGCAUUAACAUUUUGGGGCAUUUUUAUUGCACCAAAAGUCAAAAUUCCACCUCUGGGUUCCCUUAAUUGAAAGCAACAACCCAGAAACAACAAAAUUAAACAGUAACGCAACAGCAAAGCCUAAUAGAUAUCUUUCCAGUCCCAUAUAAAACUAAAAUACUUUCAAGCCUGUACAUAAUACUGACAAUGAAGAACAAUGCAUUUCAAGUCUUUAUAGCAUGAUACAUAGGCAAACAUAAAGAAAAGUCAUUUGACAGUGAGAAGAAAUACAACAACUCUACUUCAAGAGCCCUGGGUGCUUUGAGGCACACAUGGAGCUCCUUCAUGAUCAUUAACUUCAGUGGAAAGUCUGCAUACACAACUUGUGAAAACAUGAAUUCACCCUCCAUUUAAAUGAACAGCAUAGGAAAGUAGUUGGGAGAUCUUUGGGCACACAGUUGAAACCUCUGGAUGAGUUUGAUUGUAUCUAAGCCUCUUAUAGACACAAUAUGGAACAUGACAUCACUCAACCUCUCUAUAACAUCUCUCUGUUAUUCUAAAAUUACAAACAGAUUAGAGAAAUGAAUGCUUCAUUAUGAACUGUGGUCCUACAUCAUCCCUUGCAAUUAUCUGUUCUGUAAGCACCCUGGAAGAUACAAUUCCUCAGUUUAUGGAAAUUAAAGGAAAGCAGCUUCUCCAUUUAUGGAGCUAAAGGAAAGAUUAAUCUGAAACAUGUUGGUUUCAGGCAUGCUGUUUCUUUGUUGAGUAAAAGAUACCCAUGAGGACGAACACCAAAUAAAUAUUGCAGGGAGGUGUGUGUUGAGGGGUGGGGUGGGGAACAGCAAAAGAAAAAUAAUCACAGAAACAAGAAGUUGGAGUUGCAGAACUUAAGUAAACUCAAGCUGUGUCCAAUGUUUGAACUGAAAUAAAAAAGAUCACACCGCCAACAAACCUGCAGAUUUUAAGCAAAGGAAACCUGCGGCAGCAAAACAUAAACAGCUACACUAGAGACACACAAUAAGAAGAAAAAAUAGCACCAAAAUAAUUGUCAAAGAUCAACACAAAAGGCACUGCAUGUCUUCCAAAAGUGAUUGUAUGGCUAGAAUGAGCACAUUUGCACUUUCAUCAGGCAACAGAUAUUUUUAAAAAUCAGACACUAUUUUGCUAUCUCACCAACUGACUUAUCAGAUCACAAUGUAGUUCUACUAGGAUGGCGUUUUCAAAAUGGAAUCGGCUCUUGCUAACAAGCAAAAGCAUUUUAAUUACAAUGGGCAAGAAUUAAGAUGACUGAAUGGCCAGUUCUAAGCAGAUGUAUGCCAAACUCAUGGAGCAAUAAAUGAGGGAAAGAAAGAAAAUGAAAACCAACUCAGGCAGGCGUACGGAACCAGUAGCUCUCCAGGUCUUGUCGGACUCGCGUCCCAUCAGCCGCAGCUGUCAUGGCCAAUGGUUAGCUGUAAAUAGGAGUUGUAGUCCAACAACAGCUGGAGGACCACUGGUUCCCUUCUCCUGAAGUUCACACAGUACAUACCUGUCUGUUGCUAAAUAUAUCAAAAUGACUGGUGACCACAAUGGGAAUUGCUGGCAGCUGUUUCUGUGAUUAUAUAAAAUCACAUGUUACAUUGAUCUGUAUGCCAAUUGGCGGUUGGCAGCUAGAGCAAAGUAGACUGGCAUGCAAAUUUAUUAAUUUACAAAGACACCAUUCAUGAACUUAAUUUCACUCUAAAAUUAGUGGUUGAUACCCCAUUGUUAGCUCAUUUAAAGUGGAUUGAAAAUGUGUGUUAAGGGUUCGACAUAGGGGUCAAUGGAGCUCCAUUUUGUGACCCUUGGCAAGUUUGCUUGCAAGCCACAUGUUGGGACACUAAAGGAUGUGCUACAGGUUUGCGUGUAGCCCUUACAUCUGAUCCAGCCUCCCCACUCCACCUGUUCACAUUUCUUGAGCAGAUCUGGCAUAAUUUGACCAAGUCUAAAGGAAGAGUUAAAUGGGAACAUGAGAAGAGCUCACACAUUCUUCAUUUUUGACACAUUGCCUCUGUGUGCAUCUGUGCAUUGCAUGAGUGCUAGGGUGGGGAAAUGGCUCUGUUUAGUCCUGUAGGGAACCUUCUGUAGUCAGACAAGGAAGGCUCAUAACCCUCUUGUUUUAAAUCACAAGAGGAAUGAAUGGAGACACUUGUGCCUUAAUAAUCUGAAAUACAAACUAAUAAAAAUGUACAUUGGAAUGUACACGGGGAGUUGACAGGCUCCAUUUCUACAUAAUGAGAUUGGUUAUGAAUAUUGACAUCAGAACAUAUUUAAAAUUAUGCAUUAAAUGUCUUGGGAUGCAAUAACAAACUUCUUGCAUUGUGGAUAAAUUGUUCAAAGAUAUGUUUUAUUUGCAUGUGUGCAUUAAUGUUAGUGUGUGUGUACACCUGUAUGCACACACAUGCAGAUCAAUAUAACUUAUCUCAUUUAUUUAAAAUGCUUAAAUCCUGUCUUUCUACACACACAGGGCAGCCUACAAUAAAAAUUAAAACAGAAUCGCAACAACAAAUAAAGCAGUUAGCAAAGACAGCAUCCUUUUUCUGAGUUCCCUGAGCACUUGAUCUUUCUUUUCUCUUGCUGCUCAGAGGCCAUCACUGAAACUUUGGCAAAAUAUUUGUUAGAACUAUUAAGACAAAAGCUUCAGCAUUAAAGCAGUUAUUGUUGAACAGAAAUUUCCCCAGCUCUUUGGGGUGCGUGGGAAAGGAAGUUGUUUUGAAGGGGGGGGGGAUAUUCUUUUCAUUAAAUGGUUUUGACAUUCUGAAAAUGAAAUCUGAAAUGAAAAUGAAACAUUAUGAAAAUGAAAUCCAAAGUAAAAGUACAAAUGAGUUCUGGAGAUACUAUUGAUUCAUGGGCAGAAGGCAGUACUGUACUAAGCUAAUGGUAUGGUUCAGACAUGAUAGUUUAUUGUGAUGACAAUUAUCUUUGGUGAGCUUUGGGUUUGGGCACUCCACUCUGCCCCCUGGCACAGUAGUGAGGAGGAGUUCUGAAGUGUGCACUCCAAUUUCAGAUUAACUGCAGCUUGUAUUGAUGCUCAAAGUCCUAAACAAACUGUGGUUAAUCUUAAAUAUGCACUUAAGAUUAGCCAUACUUUGGGGAUAGGGUAGCAUACUAUACUGCAGUUCAUCUAAAAUGAAAAUGUAAGCAUUUGUUCUCCUUGCACAUGUACCAGAGGAGGUGCAUGAGCCCAAGGCUUGCUGCAACAUAUUAUCAUCAUGCUAAACAAUGGUUUAGUGUGAUGUCCAAAGUAGCCAUUAUUUGGAAAUGGAAUCAUUAUGAGGUGAUGCACAUGACAUUUCUGGAGCAACUGAUGCUUGUCUCCAGAAACACAUGACUGUGUCUUCCUCACAUUAUUUCACACAUGUAUGAAAUCUCUUAUUUGGUCAGACUUUUUUAUGAAUGUACAUAGAAGUUUAAUCACCAUUUCAACACUGGCAAUGAUUUUUUUUUUAAAGCAAAGUAAAAAAUGCAACAUAAAUUAGUUUCUCGGGGUGUCUACAAAUGUACUUUAUGAAUACAAGUCUAAAGAUUUGAAAGUUAAGCAGAUGUGUUCAAAACAGAGAAAUGAAAGCUGGUUUUUUAAGCAAUAUGCAACACAAUCGGAACACAUUCAGAAGUUCCACUGAAUUCAAUGGGUUUUUGUCCCAGAGAAGAAUGCACAGGAUUGCAGUCUAAAACUCAGAUGAAAUUCAUUAUACAUUUGAGAUAAAAAUGUUGCUGUUACUGUCAUGUAAUAUUCUUUUCCUAUUGCAUACUCUUUGGGCUACAGAACCCCAAAACAGGACAACUGUAGAAGGAAAAAAAGGUAUAUGAAUAAAUGUGUUCAUAUGAAUUAAAAAGAAACAAAUCCCUGCUUUGCAGCAGUAAAGACCUUAUAGAUCCAAAAAAAGACAACACUGAAAGAAGUUGAACACAAGUGCAUUUUUCAGAACUUAAAUUUCAGGAAGCAUGUAUCUGCUGCAUGUUAGCGAACUGAAGCACAAAUAAAAUAAAAUAUAUUUUCCCAAAAUCCUAUAAGCAUUUGAUAUUUCAUCAGGAACUUCUAAAAUUCAAAUGGCGAGCCAUAUACAGUCAUGUCUGUUCCAUUGCUUUAGGCAUUUCAUGGUAUCUUUUGUCAAGAAUCCUUGCCUUCAAAAAUCUCAAAAUGCAGUAUGUGAAACAAAUACUGCACCAAUCCUUGAAAAUGGUCAUGUCGAUACUGAGACCUAUCAUCAAAUGAUCCUUUUGGUAUCUCUCUGCAGCUUCAUCAACCUACUCGCAAAGCAAGAUCUUCAUGCUUCUUUCCUCCUUGGUUAAAUAGUCAACAGGGACUAGUGUUGAAAUCCACCCAAUCUGAAUGGCUUGUGACUGCGAGGAGUGCAAGCAAACAGAGGCUGAUGAAGAGGUUUCACCCUUUUGACAAAGGUGGCUUCAUAACCCAGAAGACUGAAAGCCAUCCACCGCUGGAAGGAACUGCAGCUCCCUCCAAAUUCAAGACCAUUGUCUUAAUUUUCUCCUCUUAUCAUUUUUUUGCAAUAAGCCAUGGUGUGACUCCCUUGAGAUGACAAAAAAGAACAAUUCAGGUGUCUGAAUGAAAAGUCACAGCAAGCAACCAUUGUAGCUCACGGGGAUGAUCACACAACAAGCUGUUUUGGCACACGAGUCAUGCUUCUGAUUUUAGUCAGCACAAGCAAAUAUGUGAGCUAUGAACCAGUGAUAAGAUUGAUGAAGGUGAACAUGGAAACCAAGUCACUGUAUUCCAAUGGCAAUCGGGUACAGUACGUUUCAUAGCACUGAGCUCAUAUUUGGUCACAGUUUCAUGUAAACUAGUUCAUGGCACUUGUUGUCCAUGCAGGCCCAAAAGAAGACAAACAAAGAAAAAACUGGAAAACUGCAGAAACAGCUCAAAUGUCUAUGAGUGAUCACUCUGUAAAGAUUAACUCUGUAUAGAGAGUAAUACUUGAUUUUGCAAGUUUGUUGCAGUUUAUAUUUUGUUGAAUUGCAGAUGUAUG